UGCGUCGCAUUGUGCGUCCGCGCUCAUUAAUGCGCACAAGUCCUGCUUGUGCGCGCGCCGGUGCCGCGUCGGCACUUUUUGUACCAAACGGGGCUUGUGCACAACGCUUGGAUACAUUUGGAUGUAGAAGCUAGCCUAGCGAGGCCGCUUGAUGUUUUCUUUCAUUUCAUUAUGAAUGAAUGCCAUCUGUUCGGGCUUUAUGAGAUCAAAUGUGAUUUGGGAACUCUCUCGUUUGCUGUAAUAUUUAACGCUUGCUCCAAUUUUACUUGUUUGGCUGCAAGUUUUUGACGCGUUUCUAUUUAUUAUCUUUGAGAGAUUUAGUAAGAUUUGUCACGUUUUUCUUAACGGUGACAUUAUGGAUAAAUAAAUAGUUUGGUCUGUGGCCUGCCCGCCCGCCCAUCAAGUGGGAUAUGAGCACAACCAAGUAAAUCUUUUGCCAUGUGAAAAUGUUGCGAAUUGUGUCGUCACAACUCAGCAAAUGUUUACAUAAUACCCACCUAACACUGAAUUUUUGGGGCACAUGACUUGCCAGCAAGGCUAGCAAUAAAUGUCGUUUCUGAGUCCGCUGAACCAUCUGCCACUCUCCGGCGGGCAUGACGAAGAGAGCGGGCGGGGGGCACCUGGCUGCGACUCGGUGGGCCUCGCUCACGGCCCCCAGGAGAGCUUUUCGUUUUAGAUGAGCUCUUCAUUCUCUGGCCCGCGUUGGAGUUCUUUUGGACUGUGCCGGUGAUACUCGGAUGGAAACCUUUUCACAGGCAGGCCAGCAUGAGGACGACGAAGGCGAACAGGCCGGAGAAGGAGACCACCACCACGGCCAGCGACGACGGCCACGACAGCUCGCUCAGCGGCGCCCCGUCUGCGCACACGCGGUGACGACAAAAGCCAAGAGAAGUCAACGGAAGGCCUGCUAUUACUGCCACUGAAAGAAGAAAAAAAAGCACAGAACUCUUAGAGCAGGCAUUUGCGCAAAGCCAGGGAACGUCUAUCUGGAGGGCUGCACUGGAACUCGACAUCCACAGAAGCCUGAUUCCGCAGAUGCUUGGACCAAAUCCAUCACUAACUGCUGCUCUGCGGGCCUUGAAUUGCCCGUGUAAUGGAAAUUGUGUAUUUUAAAACUUAUUUCCUGUACCUUUAAGAGUGAAUUGCAACAUUUGAUCAAGAACAAUAACGAAAUAGUAUGUCUGACUGUAUGAAUUUCCCCCUAUUGCAUGUGUCUAUGUCAAAUUUUCUGACCAGUUUACAAAGAUAAUAUAUGGCGCAAGUUACCUUGUCUUCAAGUAUUUAUUUCAGGUAUUCUUGAUUGGAACGAGUCUUUUUUUUUUCUUUCUACAACACACCACAAGUACAAAUACAAAACACAAAAAUCGCAUUUGUAUUUUUUUAUAUUUUUAUUUUAGGGAAUGUGUUACACCUAUACUUAUAUUUUAAAAAAUAUGUAUAAAGCAUAUAUAUAUUUGUUCAAAUGCUUGCAAGCCGCUUGAGGAAGUACGUCCGUUCGCGUGUAUGAGUGUCGGCAUUGAGCCACAACACGUCACCAUGGCAACAACCUUCCCAGCCGGGUAGGGGCGCAGGG